GACGAACGCUGGCGGCGUGCUUAACACAUGCAAGUCGAACGGAAAGGCCCUGCUUUUGUGGGGUGCUCGAGUGGCGAACGGGUGAGUAACACGUGAGUAACCUGCCCUUGACUUUGGGAUAACUUCAGGAAACUGGGGCUAAUACCGGAUAGGAGCUCCUGCUGCAUGGUGGGGGUUGGAAAGUUUCGGCGGUUGGGGAUGGACUCGCGGCUUAUCAGCUUGUUGGUGGGGUAGUGGCUUACCAAGGCUUUGACGGGUAGCCGGCCUGAGAGGGUGACCGGCCAAUUGGGGAUUGAGGUACGGCCAAGAUCCCACAGGGAGCAGGGAGGGGGGAAAUUUCCCAAUUGGGCGGAGCCCUGAUGAAGAAACGCCGCUGGAGGGAGGCCGCCUUUGGGGUUGUAACCCGCUUUGGCUGGUGCGGAAGCUUAGGUGCCGGAAUUGGUAAAGAAGCACCGGCUAACUACGUG
rnacentral:rRNA from 1 species